rnacentral:lncRNA from 1 species
CCAUAUCUGUAUCUGACCUUGUCAUUCCACUUGGGUAGUUGAAAAUCUGUAUCCGCCCUCAGAGAUGGAAGUUGUAAUGACUUUGCAAAACAUGACAUAAAAAUCUGAGCAUUUCAUGAUUUAUUUAAUUGUUUCUAUUAUCUAGCAUGAUGUAUGUUUGAUAUUCUGUAUUAACAUAUCAUUUUCUUAACAAAUAAAUGGUUUUCUAU